UCAACCGAUCGUCCGGCCCGACCGCAUCAUUAGUGGGCAACAUCGCGGGAAGAGUUACCAACUCGUACUCGACGUCGCGCCAGCGUGAACUGGAGGCAGGCAGUGCUGGGGAAGCCGUCGUCGGGGAAAGAAAAGGUAGUAACGUUGUCAGCAUCAAGGCCGCCAUCAAUCCCCACUUAAUCAGCUUUUUUCCUGGCGUAUGUUUUGCGGACCCGGCGUGAAUCACUUGCCACUUGCGUCAACAAAAGAUGUGGACGAUCAUCUUAAUAGCGUCGUUUGCCGUGCUUGGGGCGUCUGCGGAUGUCGGGCCAGAG